AAUUUGUGCCGGGACGAUGCCUAAACAAACCAUUUUCCCUCUGGUUUUCAAACAUUCAGCACGACCGAUCAUCAAUGAGUCUUAAAAGUGUAUUCGCUCCAAUGGUCAUAUUUGGACACUUCUAGUUGAGACCAUGACAAUCCUCGUGGUCCAUCUCUUCCAUCGUUCUUUCGCCGUUUAAGCUGUCAGGUACGAAAGUUGGGAGACGAGCAAAAUAGAUGACGUGACGCAAGUUAGGAGAAUGGUUUAUCAAGUGGAAAGUACAUCAGACGCACGCGUAUUCUCCCUACUUCUCGUCCCCCCAUCACUCCACUUUAGACGAUGGGAAAAUUGGUCAAAUUUUCCACAAAUUUGAGAUAAUGGAGGUCAAUUAUGACCUUAAUAGCAUCAGUCAAUGAAUCUUUGGCUUGACGCUCCGUCAGGAAUGAAUCAUUUGACGAUGAAGGACGAGUGAAAAAAAGGACAUUAUGUGAACAACAAAGGAAAUUCCAGUCAACAGAGCCCAGGUAUUUAUUUGUCCAUGGCCCUCCCACUAUUACAACCAUUUCGACGACGACUGCUACUACCACUACCACAACAAGAACAACAACAGCUAUUUCAUUACACCAUCGUCACCUUCGAAUUCGACUAGGCUUUGUCAAUACCGUGUGUGUUCGCGUCAAAUCAGUUCCUUGACGAAACAACCAACCAACGAAGACAUGGUAUUCAUCCAAAAGAGAUGCCUCUCUUCUGGCAGACAGGCAGGUACAUUGCACAAUUUCUUGCUAUUCUCGCGUGAUUCCUUUUCUUACCCCAUAGAAGGAAAGUUGAAAGAGCCAAACCCUAUCGAUCUCAAAGUCAAACUUAGUCCAAGAAUUUAGAGUGACAAUCUUGAAGAGCCUUUGUUUCUUAACAUGUGAGUUGCCAUUAUAGUUACGAUUUAUCGGCAAGUGAUUCAAAACUAGUGCGUUUGGCGAAAGAACAGGUUGACUAGGGACUGUCUGGACCAGAUGACCUUGCCCAAUACAAUGGGAAAAUUAACAAACAUAACCUGAUUUGUUUGAAUCAACCAGCUGGUAAUCAUUCCAUCAGUGACUAGAGCCUCUAAGAUGGAAUCUCUCUUUCACCACAGUUGAUAUUACCAACAACGGGCUAAAGGGCAUUGAAAUAAUUCACUUUAACACUAGUGAACAAACUCAAACCUCUCCUUUGUGCUUCUGAUCUACCCGUUUAUUCGGUUUUAACGUCCAACUAAAUGAUGUUGAACUAAACGAAUGCAAACAAUGGAUUGAAUGGACACUCCUGCUUACCGUGCGCUGCUCUCCAGAGUAAGGUGGCUCCACAAAGGUCAAUGAGGGUUCCAUCCACUAGGGUGUUACUUUCCGAGGGAACUGGCGAUCCUUGUAGGGCCGCACUUCGACUUUCGCGUAAGCCGAACACACUUCCACCCACCUGCAACACAAGUCCAAUAAACCAUGAAACUAUGACGACGGGGAUACAAAGGAUUGAGUGGCAAGGUCAUAACGUGUCAGAGAAUCAACUUCGCGAAAGUGUGUUCAAGGACAAUUGCGAUGCGUUAUCUUUGGAGCUGAUCAGAAAUGUUGUAAAUCAAAGGGGCAAGAAAUGCAAAUGAAUUGAUAAAGCCACUCUAGAUAAUAGGGCUCGCUUCUACCUUUUUUUGUGAUUGCUUCUCUCAGAUUACUUUCAUCACAAUCAAUGUCCCUGAAGUCCAUCAUAAGUGAUUGAUUUUGAAUAGUUUGACGAAAAAUCUUAAGACAACAUGGUGUAUAAUUGAAAUAUGGUCAACAACUAUUAAACAUUAUAAUUGUUCAAAAGUAAUAAUAAGGGGACUUCAAUAAUCAACAUUGGUAAGCUAACUCUGUUCUUUGUUCUUGCACUAAAUCAUCAUCUGGCAUUGCUUGCCUCUUAAAGAUCAUGAACCAGGUUUUGGCGACUUUCAAGAUCAAACCUAUCAUAUUUCACAUGAU